rfam:Gossypium raimondii chromosome 3, whole genome shotgun sequence.
AAACCAUGCAUUAGGAAUUUUCUAAUUAGCUCAUUGAAUUGCUCUCACGCUUCAUAUAAUGUUUCAUCCUCCUAUUGCCGAAAGGACGUAAUAUCGUUCCUCAAUUU